rnacentral:misc_RNA from 1 species
GAUGAAGAACGCAGCGAAAUGCGAUAAGUAGUGUGAAUUGCAGAAUUCAGUGAAUCAUCGAAUCUUUGAACGCACAUUGCGCCCCUUGGUACUCCAUGGGGCAUGCCUGUUCGAGCGUCAUUUGUACCUUCAAGCUUUGCUUGGUGUUGGGUGUUUGUCUCGCCUUUGCGUGUAGACUCGCCUUAAAAUAAUUGGCAGCCGGCGUAUUGAUUUCGGAGCGCAGUACAUCUCGCGCUUUGCACUCAUAACGACAGCGUCCAAAAGUACAUUUUACACUCUUGACCUCGGAUCAGGUAGGGAUACCCGCUGAACUUAAGCAUAUCAAUAAGCGGAGGA